rnacentral:rRNA from 1 species
UACGUAGGGGGCUAGCGUUGUUCGGAAUUACUGGGCGUAAAGCGCGCGCAGGCGGUCUUCCAAGUCAGUGGUGAAAGCCCGGAGCUCAACUCCGGAACUGCCAUUGAAACUGUUGGACUUGAGUACGAGAGAGGUGAGUGGAAUUCCCAGUGUAGAGGUGAAAUUCGUAGAUAUUGGGAAGAACACCGGUGGCGAAGGCGGCUCACUGGCUCGUAACUGACGCUCAGGCGCGACAGCGUGGGGAUCAAACAGG